UGGAAACUCACCGGCCGUAUUGCCAAGUGGUUGAGUUAUCUCGUGGAGGGCUUUAGGAUUAGUGAUAAGGUAGCUUGCUCGAAUAUAGAGCGAGUACGAGUUAUAGACAGGGUCAUGUUGUACUGAAUAUUUCACUAAAUUAUAGUGAAACUUGGAAACCCACCGGCCGUAUUGCCACGUGGUUGAGUUAUCUCGUGGAGGGCUUUAGGAUUAGUGAUAAGGUAGCUUGCUCGAAUAUAGAGCGAGUACGAGUUAUAGACAGGGUCAUGUUGUACUGAAUAUUUCACUAAAUUGUAGUGAAACUUGGAAACCCACCUGCCGCCACGUGUCUUGUUAUACUGUUAAGUUUGAAUGUACAAUAAACGUGCGAAAUCUA